ensembl:rRNA 5S_rRNA 5S ribosomal RNA
GUCUAUGGCCAUACUACCCAGAACACACCCAAUCUCAUCUGGUCUUGGGAGUUAAGUGGGGCUGGGCUGGGUUAGUACUUGGCUGGAAGAAAAUACAGAUGAACACUUUCUAGACCGUGGAUU